rnacentral:tRNA from 1 species
GGGCCGGUAGCUCAGCUGGUAGAGCAUCUCCUUUACACGGAGGGGGUCGUAGGUUCAAGUCCUAUCCGGCCCACCA